rnacentral:tRNA from 1 species
GCGUUCGUAGCUCAGCUGGAUAGAGCGACGGACUUCGAAUCCGUAGGCCGCACGUUCGAGUCGUGUCGGACGCA